rnacentral:rRNA from 1 species
UUGAUAGGCCGGGUGUGUAAGCGCAGCGGUGCGUUGAGCUAACCGGUACUAAUGAACCGUGAGGCUUAACCUUACAACGCCGAAGGUGUUU